AUGUUCUCGGGGCCUGUCGACUGGGAGGCGAUGAAGGCUCGGGUUUGGGGGAGCCACACCCCAGCGGCGGCGGCCCCGAACUCGGGACCCGACGAGGUCGCGCAAGUUGGCGCGGCAACAACGCAUAUGGCGGACCAUGCUCCGACCAUGAUGCUGGCGACCAUCGACUCCGUGCAGGAGCGCACGGAGACUCAGAUCAGCCACACCCCGACAACAAAGUGUUCGGGGACCACCGUGUUGACGGGAGAUGGCUCACCACGGCAUGUGUGUGCGGCUACGUCUUCCUCAACGAGGAGAGAGCCGUGA
rnacentral:rRNA from 1 species